CUAUUUUGGGUUUUUAUAAUUUUGAGUUUUGGCUUGAGGUCCAAGUUAACCUAAGUCUAUAAAUAGAGAGAGUAACCCUUAUUCUUAUAAUGAAGUGAAUAGAUCAUUCAUAACAUUGUAUUCACAGUAUUUUGCAGUUGCAAAGUGAAUAAGAAGUUUUCCACAGUUUGUGGGCAGAGAGAAACUCUGUAGAAUGUUAGUUCUCUUCUCCUUUAUUGUUCUUUACAC
rnacentral:lncRNA from 1 species